CUUGGUCAUUUAGAGGAAGUAAAAGUCGUAACAAGGUCUCCGUAGGUGAACCUGCGGAGGGAUCAUUACAAGUGACCCCGGUUUACCACCGGGAUGUUCAUAACCCUUUGUUGUCCGACUCUGUUGCCUCCGGGGCGACCCUGCCUUCGGGCGGGGGCUCCGGGUGGACACUUCAAACUCUUGCGUAACUUUGCAGUCUGAGUAAACUUAAUUAAUAAAUUAAAACUUUUAACAACGGAUCUCUUGGUUCUGGCAUCGAUGAAGAACGCAGCGAAAUGCGAUAAGUAAUGUGAAUUGCAGAAUUCAGUGAAUCAUCGAAUCUUUGAACGCACAUUGCGCCCCCUGGUAUUCCGGGGGGCAUGCCUGUUCGAGCGUCAUUUCACCACUCAAGCCUCGCUUGGUAUUGGGCAACGCGGUCCGCCGCGUGCCUCAAAUCGACCGGCUGGGUCUUCUGUCCCCUAAGCGUUGUGGAAACUAUUCGCUAAAGGGUGCUCGGGAGGCUACGCCGUAAAACAAACCCAUUUCUAAGGUUGACCUCGGAUCAGGUAGGGAUACCCGCUGAACUUAAGCAUAUCAAUAAGCGGAGGA
rnacentral:rRNA from 1 species